rnacentral:rRNA from 1 species
UACGUAGGGUGCAAGCGUUAAUCGGAAUUACUGGGCGUAAAGUGUGCGCAGGCGGUUUUGUAAGUCUGUCGUGAAAGCCCCGGGCUCAACCUGGGAAUUGCGAUGGAGACUGCAAGGCUUGAAUCUGGCAGAGGGGGGGUAGAAAUUCCACGUGUAGCAGUGAAAUGCGUAGAGAUGUGGAGGAACACCGAUGGCGAAGGGCAGCCCCCCCUGGGUCAAGAUUGACGCUCAUGCACGAAAAGCGUGGGGGAGCAAACAGG